GGGCGCGGCACACCCACGCAGCAACAAGGCUGCAGACAAUUUCGCAUUAGUGCGCCUGCAUCUGACGAGAGGGAGCGGCAUAAAAGCCAACAGACCGGCGCCAGAAUGUAGCCAAUCUCCCCUGAUGUCUUCCGUGAUCGUGUCCUGCCUCACGACCUACUCCCAGAGCCUUGCUUGCUUUCCCCGAUCCUUGACCACUACUUGGACCCGGACAUCGCUGCCUCUCUCCAACCCCCGACUGCUUGCCUUCCUACUGACUGCCUCUUCGCCUUCCCCCUUGCAUUCGACGAAGGAUACAUUCAACACACACCAAAAACAUCCUUUGGUAAAUUCUGCAUUGUUAAUUCUACACGUUGUCAGCAUUCAUUCACUAGUAGUAGCAUACAUACCUCAUACAUUCAUCAAAGGUUUGAACAAACAUUUUAAACCGCAGUUCUGCUUUGGUGUCGCCUCCUUCCCUUUGCCUAGUAUACAACACUCUGAGCUUUUCAUUGUCGCUCACAGGUCGUUUUUCUUUUUUUUUUUUUCAAACGAUGAGGUCACAAG